rnacentral:misc_RNA from 1 species
GCCUGCAGCAUCCGUACCAGCAUCCAUAUUCUCCAGUGAGAUACACGUAGCACCAGUAAUUUUCAAAUUCCCACCUCCAUCUUCUGGUACAAGACAACUAGGAUUGCCAUCUGCCUUCCAAGGCACAUUUUCGAUCACACCCACUUGAAUUUGCACAUUAUCAAGCUUGUCACAACUUUUUUCAUUUUCACCAACAGCCUUCUCUCCCAAAAACUCCCUGGAAACCCUAGCAAUUGUGGAAGGCGAUA